UUAAGCCUCAAGGUACUAAUUUGAGGUUGGUUUGAGGAUAAAGACUGUCUAAGAUUAAAACUGCUGCCUUUUCAGUAGUAAAUGUGUUGAACUGAGUCAGCUGUGUGGAGACAAGCAGCUGUGUGUGUAAUGUAUUUCCUUAAGGGGUAGAGAACGGCUACACUGUGUUUCUCGGGCUGGACAUCUUUCUUCCUAUUUUUCAGAAUUUCUGAAAGCUUGUCAUCAUUAUUGUGGAUUGUGAUUUAGAAUAAUGUAUCAGUAUUGUCAGAAAGAAAAAGGAAGGAGAAUGUAAAGACUUAAAUGAAGCAGAACAAAUUCCAACAUGACUGAAAAUUAGAGUUGAAACAAAUUAUUGCUUGUGUGACAGUGAUGUGAAAUUCAUUUAAAUCAUAUAGUCCUUCAUUCUCUAAAAUGCAGUUUGGAUGCUAAAUCUACCAGUAUCCAGGUAACAGUUAAAGAAGGCGGUCUGAAGCUUAUCCAAGUCCAAGAUAACGGCUGUGGUAUCAGAAAAGAAGAUCUGGAUAUUGUAUGUGAGAGGUUUACUACGAGUAAACUGCAAAAAUUUGAAGACUUGGCUAGUAUUUCUACAUAUGGUUUUAGGGGUGAGGCACUGGCUAGCAUAAGUCAUAUUGCCCAUGUUACAGUAACUACCAAGACAGCUGAUGCAAAAUGCGCGUACAGAGCUACUUACAGUGAUGGAAAAAUUAAAGCCCCUCCAAAACCUUGUGCUGGAAACCAAGGGACUCAGAUCAUGGUUGAAGAUCUCUUUUAUAAUGUAAAUACAAGGAGGAAAGCUUUAAAAAAUGCAAGUGAAGAGUAUGCAAAAAUACUGGAAGUUGUUAGCAGGUAUGCCAUCCAUAACUCGGGCAUCAGCUUUUCCGUUAAAAAGCAAGGUGAUACUGUGUCAGAUGUUAGAACAUUAUCAAAUGCCUCAACAGUGGAUAACAUCAGGUCCAUCUUUGGAAAUGCUGUUAGCAGAGAACUGAUAGAAGUGGGCUGUGAAGAUGCAAGCUUGGCCUUUAAAAUGAAGGGUUACAUAACGAACGCAAACUACUCUGUGAAGAAAUGUAUAUUUUUACUCUUCAUAAACCAUCGACUGGUAGAGUCGACCGCUUUGCGGAAAGCCAUAGAAACUGUCUAUGCUGCUUAUUUGCCAAAAAGUACACAUCCAUUCCUAUACUUAAGCCUGGAAAUAGCUCCUCAGAAUGUAGAUGUGAAUGUGCAUCCUACAAAACAUGAAGUCCAUUUUCUUCAUGAGGAUAGUAUUCUCGAGCGUGUGCAGCAACAUGUAGAGAGCAAGUUAUUGGGCUCUAAUUCUUCAAGGAUGUACUUCACCCAGACGUUGCUUCCAGGGGCUGACUGUUCUUCCAAUGAGGUUGUAAAAUCAGCAGCAAACUCUGCUGCAGUUACCAAAGGAACCAGUGAUAAAGUGUACGCACAUCAGAUGGUCCGCACUGAUUCUAGAGAGCAAAAGCUGGAUGCUUUUCUUCAGCCAGUGAACAACUCACUAAGCACAGGCCCUACAGCAGAGGACAGAGCGGUGACAGCAGAGGACAGAGCGGGACUUCCUGAGGGCACAGUCAGGCCACAGGAUGCUGAAAUGGAAGAUGUCAGUGAUGUAGCUGAAAUGGCUGAUGCGCAGAGGGAUGCAAUAACGGCUGGGGGCCUGAGUGAGCAUAGGCACUUGUCUCCUGAAACAGCGCCUCCUCAAAAGAGACCACGUGAAGACACUGACAUAGAAAUGGAGAAAGAUGAUACUAGAAGGGAAAUGACUGCUGCCUGCACCCCUAGAAGAAGAAUUAUCAACUUGACCAGUGUAUUGACUCUUCAGGAGGAAAUUAGUAACCAGGCGCAUGCUGGUCUUCAGGAGAUGCUACAUGAUCACUCAUUUGUUGGCUGUGUCAGUCCUCAGUGGGCUCUGGCACAAUAUCAGACAAAACUGUAUCUUCUCAAUACAACAAAACUCAGCCAAGAACUCUUCUACCAGAUACUUAUUUAUGACUUUGCAAACUUUGGCGUCUUAAGGUUGUCUGAGCCAGCUCCUUUAUUUGAGCUUGCAAUGCUUGCUUUAGAGGACCCUGAAAGUGGCUGGACAGAAGAAGAUGGCCCAAAGGAAGGGCUAGCUGAGUACAUUGUUGAGUUUCUGAAAAAGAAGACUGAAAUGCUGAAAGAUUAUUUCUCUCUUGAAAUUGAUGAGGAAGGAAACCUGAUGGGAUUACCACUUCUGAUAGACAACUAUGUUCCCCCACUGGAAGGGCUACCUAUGUUUAUCCUUCGCUUGGCCACAGAGGUAAACUGGGAUGAAGAAAAGGAAUGUUUUGAAAGCCUAAGUAAAGAAUUGGCCAUGUUCUACUCCAUUAGAAAGCAAUAUAUAAUAGAUGAAGCCAGCCUGACAAACUCACAGAAUGAAGAGUCUGACUCUGGUUCACCAACAUGGAAGUGGACUGUGGAACACAUAGUUUACAAAGCUUUUAGGACUCAUCUUUUGCCUCCUAAGCACCUCACAGAAGAUGGCAAUGUUCUGCAGCUUGCUAACCUCCCUGACCUGUAUAAAGUUUUUGAGAGAUGUUGAGCAGAAUUUUUGAAGAGAACAGCUCGGUUUUUUACCUGGGACAAUAAGUCCUCCUUUUCUCCAGCCAGUUUUCGUAGCCGGACAUCUAAAACCAAAGAACCCAAUUAAAAAAAUCAGAGAAAUCUGACACAAAGUGGGAAUCAUACCUCCUAAAAGAACCCGAAUAUAUAAGCCUGUCAUCCAAUUAUAAAAACUAGUUUAUUUACUACUUGCUUAAGUAUUAUAGCCACUCUGUAAUAAAGCCAAUCAUUUUUAGAGGAAAAAAGCACCAAACCUCAACAGCACUAUCUUAGCACAAGAAACGAUCUCAGCUGAAAGGAUCUCAGCUAAAAGCACAGUAUGGACACAGAUGGGUUUGCACGCCUAUACUGCAGCUGUUCUACCUGGGAGUUAAUCAGACAUUUUUACCUGAUUAGCCAGCAUCCCAGUAUUUCAGUCAAAUUUUGUACUGCAUGCAUUAAAAAUAAUCCUGACUAAACAGCAACUGCAGAAAUGUACACGCAUAUUUUGCCAAGAAAAUUAACAUUUCAUCAUGCAUGCAUGUUUAGGAAUAGACUGAUACCAAGAAAGAAACGAAGGUGAAUUACUCUGUAUUGUAAUUGCCCCACAUAGUUAUUAAAAUUCAACAUACUGCAAUUGUUAUCUAAAAUGUAUAUAUACUUGAGCAAUUUUUAAUGCAUUAUUCUGUUAAUUUCAGAGAAUUAAAAUGUGCAGUUGCACAUUUCAACAUGUGAUUGUAAUUCAACAUGUGAAAAAGCAUUAGUUGUCACCUCAUAGUUAAAGAACAUAAGAUGUCCUUUUAUUUCCUAACACAUAUUAGCUCUCUAGAACUAUGUUGUAAGCAGUGUGAAACACCUUAGUCAUUAUAUGAUUUUGUGUUCCACUUAAAGACAUGACUUUACUUUUUUGUUUCCCCGCUAUCCUUCAAAAAUAACAAUCGCAUCCACUUCAUAGACUGAACCCAGAGACCCAGAAUUACACUGCAGAUGCAGAUCCUAUAUAUGUUUGGCAGUGCCCUGUGAUGUUGAUGACCUUCCCACAACAUACCUUCUAUCCUCCCCCUGCACACAAGCAUUGGAAACCAGAAAAUUUUGGUAGAGGAAAUGAAACUAGUAUAACCACAUAUAUCUACCUACACAGAGGUUAAUAGUAAUUAUUCAAAGUUGAAAAACGAAGUUGAAAACAAGUUUUUGUAUGCUUGGGGUUAUUAUUCAUGACAUGGUUUUUGGAGUAAAUGUACUUGCAAGAGCAAUUGCAAGAAUUGCAAGAACAAUUCUUUUAUUGAGGAAAAAGAUAUUUAACAGGGCAACUAAACUCUGCAAAUGUGUUUUAAAUCGCACCAGCCUGAUUAAAAUCUGAUCAUUCGGCAAAAAGCAGAUUUGUCUGGAGUCCUGCUUACUAAGUAUUCAAAAAACCUUUGUCUCAAUAUCUAUAUCAAACUCAGUUAUGCCAGGCAUGUACCAUCUGGAGCCAUUAAAGAGCAAAACAGUUGUAUAUUUCAGGAAUCCUCUAGCCUGAAAGUUACAGUCCAAGGUCCCAAGACUGACCUAUCUCAUUUUAGACUGAAUCCAAUUGCAAAUUUCAAAUCACCUUGUGGAAAUAGGACAAUACAAGGAGGAAAGUGUAAAGCUGAAAUUCAUGCCAUCUCUGUUCAGCUUACCUCCCUUCCUUGUCAAUUCUGAGUUAGCAUCAGCCUUGCAUACAAUAUUUUAAAAUUAGGUUACAAUUUUAGUUAUCUACUCUUUUGUGAAGCUUCUCAGAGGCUUCUGAAGUUGGAACAGUCAAAAUUAGCAAGACUACUCAGGAUGGAGGAGAAACACUCAAAAACUGCAAGCUAAGAAAAAGAUGAAAAUGUUUUUAAUUAAGAGAAAAAGACGACAGACAGCAAACAAUAUUCCAAUUUAAGAGCCAAACAAUUUGGAGAAGGUUCAAAAAAUAAAAGCUAGAAAAGACUCAUUUAUCAUGACAUUUACAAAUGCAUAGAGAAUGAGAAGAAAAUUUUGGCUUCCAUCUUAGUGACUGUCCAUGGACUCAAUCUGGCUAGCAGCUAGUACUUUGUACAUUAGGCAUCUGAUAGGCUUUGUACGGUGAAGUAUUUGAAAGAGCAAAAAUGACCACUUAGACUGGCACAGUGCAGUACACAAAGGUAAUAAGGGUGGAAGGAAAAGGGUAAAUAAAUUAAAGAUAAAUAACCUUCCAGAAGAACAUUCAGGGAAAGGAACUUUAAAAAAUUGCCAUAUUAUUUAUGACAGAAGAAAGGAUCAAAAUGUAUAGUGAAGGAGAACUGAAACAUGAAAUAAAUAUGGACUGAAGGAGGACAGUAUCACAGGGCACUUUUUGCAGGACCACCAGUUAAUUGUAGGAAGAAACUUUCCUCUUGUUCUAAUUUUUCAAAGAGAUUUGAACUCCAGCGAAUAGAGCUAUUUUCAAAGAAAUCUGAGUACGUCAAAAUCCUGGUAUAGAAUUCAUUUAGUUAGAUAGAAAUGACCCUAGAGUUACUAAAAGACAGACACUUCAUUUCUAAAGACUUUCCAGUUAACACCCUGUUACCAUCAGGCAAUUUAGUUGUGACCCAGAACAGCCACAACUUCGGGGUACUGUGAUUACUGCCCAGGGUCAGGCCAACUCUGAAACAGUUCUGUCCCUUUCGCACUACCCAGAACCAAAGCUGGCAAGCCUUGCCUGACCUCAACCAGCUGUGUAACUGCCAGUGGCAGUUCUUCCAGCACCACCUUUCUUUCUCCACAGGGAGUCCGACAGCCACUCCUGAAAAGGUCUGUCACAACUGGUGUGUCCAUUCAACCUACCAACUCCAACCCGGUCUAAGCUGCCUCCUGCAGAGUCACCCAAGAUGCACACACUUCGUUCUUCAGUGCUCCAGGGCUAGUGAGGUCUCGGUAACUCAGACUUAGCACAAAAUGAGCGUGCAGUGUCAGCCUGGUUCAGAUAACCAGCCCUCCAAGGAUCAGGAGAGCUGUAUAGAAAUGCCCAAGUGACUACAGGAGUUGGUUCAAAUCUGGUUGUACUUUUCAGCACAAGGCAUGCCAAAUGCAAGCAGGCUCUACAAAUAUCUAUUGAGGAUUCUCUGCAAUGUGAUCCUUAGCUCCUGCAGCUUUCCAGGUUCUUCAUUAGCUGGGGUACUUUGUCUCUCUCUUAUCCUAGCAAAUGGAAACGUGACCACUUAAAAAGUUUUGAAAAUUAUAUUCGUCUGUAUGCAGAUUAAAAGCUUUAACAAUCAUUUCAAUCUUAUAUAAAAUAAUAUUAAUACUCUAUUAAUAUAUGGACCUAAACAAUUUUUACAUUUGUUAGGAUUAAGGAAACAAUGACUUUUUAAAGCCCCCAUUAGAGGUAAAAAUUUUCUUUGCAGAAAGUAAUAAGACCUGUAUGCGUAACAACCUUUCAUGUUAUAGAUUUAAUUAGUACUAUUCAUCAUUAUGCACGUAAAGUGGAGCUCAUUUCUUUCUUUCUUUCUCUAAAGGGGAGAAAGAUUGCAAAGUGUUUUAA